UAAGCCAGGCCGGGGGCCUGGCCGGGCGGGGCGAGAGGGGCGCGGGACGAGGAGCCAGGAGGGCGGUGGACAAACUCGCCGGCCCCAGAAGUUUGGCGGGGAGAGACACGGAAAAAUAGGCCUAGACCCCAAAGGGUGGAAGAGGCAAAAAGGGUAUCUGGUUUUGUUUUUAAUUUAUUCCAAUUUGAGGGAGAGACCCAAAGAAUAGUGAAUGCUGCAGAGUCCCAGGAAAGACCAAAAAGGGUGAGAAGGCACUUCAUCUUGCUAGGGUUAAAGGAUUCAUAGAGGUGGGAAGGUUUUGAAGAGAGGAAGCAGGCUUGCUGCACCGUCCAGCUGCCUGGAUCAUAAGGCAGGUAGGUUCGCUGUCCUUUAAAACUGCAGUGUAAUUGCUUCACACCCUUAUCCCACUGUACAUGGGAACCUCGGCGUGCUUACCUGUAUCUCCAGAGACUCAUAGGGGAACUUACAGACUUCCUCACUCUAACCCCAAUAUUUUGUCUC